rnacentral:lncRNA from 1 species
AAGCUCAUGAAUCAUGAAAAUGCUGAUGUGACCAAGAAUGCUCUUCUCUGCAUCCAGAGGCUUUUCCUUGGUGCCAAAUAUGCUAGCUUCUUACAGUCUUAAGUCAGUGUUGUUCCCAGUGGGACCCAAUCUCUGGUACCAUAUAAAAUGCUCCCCUUACAUUUGGCGAUUCUGUUUGUGUUCAAAAGCCAUCUGAAACAUUGUGGUAGAGUUGAGGUUUUAGAUACCAACCCAAUACUGGUUUGGUAACCUAUCG